AGAGAACUCAAACAGGCAGGAGGUUCCCACAGGAAAACUCCCUCAGUACGAGAGGUCUGUGCCAGUUGUAUAGCUGUGUCUUCUCUGCUGCCUGUCCGUCUACUCUCAGCAGGAACAGGAUGAAACAAAAUGCUAUAUUACAACAGAUCUUUCUCUGGUACAAGGUCUAUUAUCUUGUUUGCACUGGUGGUGUAAACUGGAGUAUGUGAUUUAUUGUUAUAGCUUCCAGUUGGAUAAGACAGCUAAGAUUUGGACAUCUGCCUCUCCAGCAUGCAUUAGUCAAGGGUCAAGGUCUCUCAUAUUCUGUUUUGCAGGAAAGCAAUGGGGAAAGACACCCACUGUCUGUUUGGCAAAUUACUUCACAGAAAAGGAUUACUGCAUGCAGACCAUGUAUUGGUCUCAGCCUGAGGUCGAGCUAAGCUGUUACUUCACUGGAGAACAUGACAAGAUGUUCUCAUGGCUUAAGGUUUUCUGGCUCAGGAGAUCUUGCCUCUGAGGAUGAGAGUACUGUACCUUCUUCUCUAGCUAUACAUCCAAGGAAACAUAAAUACUCUCCAAGUUCCCCAACUGGCCUGAGCUCUGCAGACCAGGGGCUGUGACAGAGUAGUACAGCAUGUAAGGACUGUAUCCUGUGGACCGCCCUUCCCUCUGGAUGGCUUCCUCCCCAUGUGCAGAGGUGACUCCUGGUGAGGCACUCAUCCAGCUGCUUCAGCUGCUUCCAGAUGGCAGCUCCCACCUCUGGCCACUGGUACCCUGGAACCCUGUUCAUCACCCUUCUUCUCAUUGCUGCCUGCCCUCUGGAGAGAAGCCUUUCCAACUGGUGAUCAGCCUGGUGCAACCACAGACCCUCUUAGCUAAUGCUGAUUUUUCUUUGGCCAUUUCUGACAAUUUCUGGACUGAGUUUGAUAGUAAGUAAACCCUGCAACUGCAUCCUUCUCAGACUCAUUCUCUGUGUCACCACCAGUGAGUCGCAUGAUCAUUUGCUUUUUCUCUUCUGUAAAUAAAGAGUUCACAGCCAACUCCUAGAAUCCUGUAUGUUUCUCACACCUACACACUAAAAGCACAGCUGCUUGGAGUCAAAACAUCUCCAGGAGGAAUGGUGCCUCUUUUAAGACCUGGGUUCUUGAUUUAUGCUGCUGAUAAACAGGAGAAUCCUAUGUCUUGUUUGCAGGGGCUGUCCCAGUGUUGUGUGAGAAAGCCCUGAAGAGCCUGUGGUUGCCCUGUGUUGCAACAUCACCCUUAUAUGACCUCACCUGCACCUUCUGAUUCCUAAGGGUGACAUUCAGUGCCAGAAGCCCCAUUGUUCUGGGAUGCAGUCAGCUCACAAUAACUGAGAAUAGCUAUGGUUUUGGCUGCGGACCUUCCCCCUUUCCCCCCAGAUGUAUCAGAGAGUCAUGCCAGGCUGCUGCCAAAGUGUUCUUGUCUCCUUUAAGUUCAUGUUCCAGUUUGUACAAUUUCAUUAUAAAGUCAGACUGUGGCAGCUUUAGUGUUAAAUGAGAUGAAGAUAGGAAUGUAUUCAUCUUUUUAGUCUGGAACAGAUUCAGACUUCCCUACUCCCUAAUUCCCAGUAUAUUCAGUAAUAAAGUGUGGCUCGUAAACAUGUCAGCACUUAAUGGGGCCUUGAAUCAAGUACUCACUCAUUCCACCAACUACUGUUGGUGCCAAAAGUGGUUCAGUGCUUAUUAUUUUACAUCUCUUUUACCAAGGACUUUGUGACUUUUCCUAAGGUGCUAAAACCAAAACUGUAACAGAAGAGGAUUUCUGAUAAAGGUUGAGCAGAAAUAAUUCAUACACUUAGAAAUAUUUUUAUUUCCCUAAAAAUAGGAUAAUUUUUGUAGCUUUAUUCCUUUAGGUUCUACAUAGACCUCUCAAAUAGUCCAGUCAUUAGAGACUUUGGAGGGGUUAUAUUUGGAUAAAAAAAUAAAAUUCCACAAAACCCAGUGAAAGGCUUGACCCUGAAGCAGGUGACCAUUAUCAGCUUUGAUUUUAUUGCCAAAAUUUGUAAAUAUUUUUUUUUAGUGUAGGCCAAACAACUGUGGCUAUUUGGCCACAGCUGCUUGCUUGUUUGUAGCACCAGCUAACAUUCUUCUCUGAUUUCAGUCUGAUUAUUCUGAUGUGGGUUGGGUCUGAAGAUCUUUUCUUAGCUCUUUCCUUUUAAGGAACAGCCGGGUUUUAAAUGACCCAGUCAUGAGCUCCUAAUGUUGCAGAUCCUUCCUCUGGAGAACACCCUCCAUUCUCUGACUAGAAACCAAUGAUGGAUUUGUUACUUCAACAGGAGAUGGGAGACCACGGUCCAGUGCUUCGCCAGAGACAUCUGUGGGAUUUGGGACAAGUCCCUGCUUCUAUGGUCUGUGGUGUUUUAAAAUAGGGAUUUGAAAAAGAGUGGUAGGAUUGUUAUUUAUAUACAUUUUAACAUCAUGUCAGAUCCUAGCUGAGAACACUCAUUGUGCUAAUUACUAAUGGGAGAAAUGGGUCUUAAUGUCUUCAUAAACAACUCAGGCUGAAAGAAUCAAUCAAGUUCUGGAAAAAUGGCUGUGGGGAUAUUAGGAGAAAUGGGUGUUAAUGUCUUAGAAAUGGACCUUAAUGUUUUAAUGAAUAUCAAUCUGCAUUUUUUGCAGAAUCCAGAUAAUCUGAGCUUCUAAACUUUAGGGCAAUAUGUAGUAGGUGGUUUGGGAAGUCUGUACCUCCCUCAGCUAAUGGGGAAAGGAAGAGGGCAACCUGCAGCCAGGAGUUUAGGAUAAAAGGAGGCGGUCUCCU
ensembl:lncRNA